CGUAAACCGCGUUAGGGAUAGAGGCGGUAUCCUUUUACUUGCCCUUUUUUGGGGCAAGUAAAAGAUAAAGCCGAUAGCCCGACCCCAA
rnacentral:sRNA from 1 species